UACGUAGGGGGCAAGCGUUGUCCGGAUUAUUGGGCGUAAAGAGCGUGUAGGCGGCCAGAUAGGUCUGAUUGUGAAAACUCGAGGCUCAACCUCGAGACGCCGAUGGAAACCAUUUGGCUAGAGUCCGGAAGAGGAGAGUGGAAUUCCUGGUGUAGCGGUGAAAUGCGCAGAUAUCAGGAAGAACACCCGUGGCGUAAGGCGGCUCU
rnacentral:rRNA from 1 species